AAUGAACGUUGGCGGCGUGGAUUAGGCAUGCAAGUCGUGCGAGAAUCUCCCUUCGGGGAGAGGACAGCGGCGAAAGGGAGAGUAACGCGUGGUUACAUACCCUCGGGACCGGGAUAGUAGCGGGAAACUGCUAGUAAUACCGGAUAAUAUCUUUGGAUCAAAGGUGUGAUUCCGCCCGAGGAUUGGACCGCGUUCUAUUAGCUUGUUGGCGGGGUAAUGGCCCACCAAGGCGACGAUGGAUACCGGGUGUGAGAGCAUGGCCCGGCUCACUGGGACUGAGACACUGCCCAGACACCUACGGGUGGCUGCAGUCGAGAAUCUUCGGCAAUGGGGGAAACCCUGACCGAGCGACGCCGCGUGCGGGAUGAAGGCCUUCGGGUUGUAAACCGCUGUCAGUUGGGAGGAAGUGCUAGGGGGUUAUCCCCUUAGUUUGACCGAUCUUCAGAGGAAGGACGGGCUAAGUUCGUGCCAGCAGCCGCGGUAAGACGAACCGUCCAAACGUUAUUCGGUAUCACUGGGCUUAAAGCGUGCGUAGGCGGCCUGGUAGGUGAGAUGUGAAAGCCCACGGCUCAACCGUGGAAUUGCGUUUCAAACCACCAGGCUUGAGGAUGGCAGGGGUGAUGGGAACUGAUGGUGGAGCGGUGGAAUGCGCAGAUAUCAGGAGGAACACCGAUGGCGAAGGCAGGUCUCUGGGCCGCAACUGACGCUGAGGAGCGAAAGCAUGGGUAGCGAACAGGAUUAGAUACCCUGGUAGUCCAUGCCGUAAACGUUGGGCACUAGGUGUGGGGCUCAUUCCACGAGUUCCGUGCCGCAGCUAACGCAUUAAGUGCCCCGCCUGGGGAGUACGGCCGCAAGGCUAAAACUCAAAGGAAUUGACGGGGGCCCGCACAAGCGGCGGAGCAUGCGGAUUAAUUCGAUGCAACGCGAAGAACCUUACCAAGGCUUGACAUACACCGGAAACAUCCAGAGAUGGGUGCCCCGCAAGGUCGGUGUACAGGUGGUGCAUGGUUGUCGUCAGCUCGUGUCGUGAGAUGUUGGGUUAAGUCCCGCAACGAGCGCAACCCUCGUCCUAUGUUGCCAGCACGUAAUGGUGGGGACUCAUAGGAGACUGCCGGGGUCAACUCGGAGGAAGGUGGGGAUGACGUCAAAUCAUCAUGCCCCUUAUGUCUUGGGCUUCACGCAUGCUACAAUGGCCGGUACAAAGGGCUGCGAUACCGCGAGGUGGAGCGAAUCCCAAAAAGCCGGUCUCAGUUCGGAUUGAGGUCUGCAACUCGACCUCAUGAAGUCGGAGUCGCUAGUAAUCGCAGAUCAGCAACGCUGCGGUGAAUACGUUCCCGGGCCUUGUACACACCGCCCGUCAAGUCACGAAAGUUGGUAACACCCGAAGCCGGUGGCCUAACCCCUUGUGGGAGGGAGCCGUCGAAGGUGGGACUGGCGAUUGGGACU
rnacentral:rRNA from 1 species